AAAAGUACAGCAUGGAUUGACAGACUUUCAAAAAUCAUAGAGGUCUUGCGUGACAGAUUACCAUCUCCUAACACAUGUAACAACAUUAGUGAUGAGCAUGUCGUGGAAGUCAUGAAGUUUAUUGAAAAAUCUGUUGCUUUUAAGAAGGGCAAAGGUGUAAAAUCAAAAUCUUGCAUUACAAUUGCAGAUUUUGAUAUAUCGGACGCAGACAAAAGUCACCUGUGCUCUUCGUCAGAUCUAUCCCCUCCUCGCAUUGUGGUGUUUAUGGAUGGUAACAAAUGUGUUGAUGGGUAUAUUGUAGGAGAUAAUUGUAAGAUUAGGUGCAGGAAUAUGAACAAUGUUGGAGUAAUUUUCAUCACAUUCCUGGCUUGUUACUAUUGCUUUGAUUUCUCAUAUCCCCGGAUUUACUCACAGUUCUUGGGCUUCCUGCAACAAUAUGUUAUGCAUGACCCAUAUUGUCAUGAGAAGUCAUCUGACCACAAGCACUUCAUUGCACAAUAUCAGAGUCUCUUUGAAAAGUGAAUCUGAAGUUCGUAUUCAUAGACGUUCAGCUCCCUCACUACAGCUGCUUGCAAAGGUCUACAUAAUAAGUUUUGGAGAUUGCUUGGGUGUCUCACUAAAGCCCUUAUGCUUACAUGUUCAAAUACCUCACUACACCUUUUCAAUACACCAAAAUUAAAUCCAAAUCUUUUUCUCUAGCCAUUCGGAAAUAGCUGUAGUGAGGGACCUGAGCGUCUCAGGAUACGUGCCUAAGUGAUAUAUGUUCAUAUUGUAGGUUAAUGAUAUGAGGUGUUCAGGUACCAAUGUCAUUUAUUUCCUUUGUUAAAUACUAACCGGCAUCUCACAUUCCCGCGUGCCCCCUCGCGAGGGCCACUCAAUCAGUCUGUCCCCAUACUUGCCUCUGUAGGGGUACGCUCCACUGGAUUUCUCUUAUUAAAGGACCUUAAGUUAUA